rnacentral:misc_RNA from 1 species
GAAAUGCGAUAAGUAAUGUGAAUUGCAGAAUUCAGUGAAUCAUCGAAUCUUUGAACGCACAUUGCGCCCGCCAGUAUUCUGGCGGGCAUGCCUGUCCGAGCGUCAUUUCAACCAUCAAGCCCCCGGGCUUGUGUUGGGGACCUGCGGCUGCCCGCAGGCCCUGAAAACCAGUGGCGGGCUCGCUGUCACACCGAGCGUAGUAGCAAUCACCUCGCUCAGGGCGUGCUGCGAGUUCCGGCCGUUAAACAGCCUUACAAAACCCAAGGUUGACCUCGGAUCAGGUAGGAAGACCCGCUGAACUUAAGC